rnacentral:rRNA from 1 species
UGGGGGAUAUUGCACAAUGGGCGAAAGCCUGAUGCAGCGACGCCGCGUGGGGGAUGAAGGCCUUCGGGUUGUAAACUUCUUUUGCUCUGAACAAGGCAUGCUAAUGGGUGUGUUGAGUGUAGGGGUUGAUUAGCGCCGGCUAACUACGUGCCAGCAGCCGCGGUAAUACGUAGGGCGCGAGCGUUGUCCGGAAUUAUUGGGCGUAAAGGGCUUGUAGGUGGCUGGUUGCGUCUGUCGUGAAAGCUCAUGGCUUAACUGUGGGUUUGCGGUGGGUACGGGCUGGCUUGGGUGCAGUAGGGGAGGCUGGAAUUCCUUGUGUAGCGGUGGAAUGCGCAGAUGUCAGGAGAAAUACCGGUGGCGAAGGCGGGUCUCUGGGCUGUUACUGACACUGAGGAGCGAAAGCAUGGGGAGCGAACAGG